rnacentral:lncRNA from 1 species
AAGCAAUUUUCCUGCCUCAGCCUCCCGAGUAGCUGGGAUUACAGGCGUGUGUGCCACCAUGCCCAGCUAAUUUUUUUGUGUUUUUACUAGAGACAGGGUUUCACCAUGUUGGCCAGGCUGGUCUCGAACUCCUGGCCUCAGGUGAUCCACCUGCUUCAGCCUCCCAAAGUGCUGGGAUUACAGGCGUCAGCCACCACACCUGGCCAAAAUAUUUUUUAUUUUCUAUUAUGAUAAUUCAAGGCAACAAAUUUUUCUGUAAGCACUAUUUUAGCUGCCUCUUAAAAUGACUUUUUUUUUUAAAUUUUUUAUUUAUUUAUUUAUUUACUUUUGUGGGGGGCAGAUUCUCACUAUGUUGCCCAGACUGAACUCAAACUCCUGGGCCCGGGUGAUCUUCCUGCCUCAGUCUCCUGAGUAGCUAGGACUAUAUAGACACUCAUCACCAUGCCCGGCUUGCAUCUCACAGAUUUUAACAUGUGCAUUUUCAUUUUAAUUCCAUUCAAAGUAUUUUUAUAUAUUUUUAUUUGUUUUUGACCAUGAGCUAUUUAACAGUGUGAUAAUUUCCAAAUAUUUGGGGAUUUUCUGGAAAUAUUUAUGUUAUUAUUUCUGUUGUAGACAAAGAACAUAUUGUGUAUGAUUUAAAUAUUUUAAAUGUAUUGCAACUAAUUUUAUGGCCUGGUAUAUGGUCUAUCUCGGCGUAUGUUCUAUGUAGACAUGAAUAAAAUGUGUAUUAUGCUCUUACUGUAUGGAAUGUUCUAUAAAUAUCAAUGAGGUCAUGCUGGUUGAUAGUGUUCUUUGAGUCUUCUAUUGCACUAUGGUUGUCUUCUAUUUCAUUCAUCAGUUAUUGGGGAGAAUAAUAAUGAGGUUUCCAACUCUAAUUGUGUACUUGCCUAUUUCUCCUUUCAGUUCUAUCAAAUAUUGCUUCAUGUAUUGCAUUCUUUUGUCUUCUUGAUGAAUUCACCCCUUUAUCACUAUAAAAUGUCCCUCUUUAUCUCUGCAAAUAGUCCUGGUUCUGAAUCUACAUUGUCUAACAUGAAUAUAGCCAUUCUAGCUUUCUUUUAAUAAGUGUUUGUGUGGUAUUUCUUUUUCCACCACUUUUAACCUAUCAGUAUCACUCAAUAAAUCAUAUAUACAUAUAUAUGUAUAUACAUGGUUUCAUAUAUAUAUGUGUGUAUAUAUAGUUUCUUGAAUAUAGCUUAUAGUUGAGACUUGCUUUUUUUAAUCCAAUCUUACAAUUUCUGGCUUUGAACUGCGUUCCUUAGUUUAAAUUUGCCAUCUUACUACCAGCUUCUAUUUGUCCCAUCUAUUCUUUGCUCCGUUUUUGCUCUUUUCCCUUUGAGUUAAUUGAAUAUUUUUUAUAAUUCCAUUUUAUUUCCGUCAUUGGAUUAUUAUUUCUCUUUCUUUUAAGGAGUUGCUCUAGGGUUUACAGUAUCUAUCUUUAGUUUUUCACAGUCUACCUUCCCAUAGUAUCGUUCCUCUUCCUCUGUAACAUAAGAAACAUACAACGCUAUACCUUCAUCCAUGCCUUCUGUCCUCUGUGUUAUUGCUGUCAUAUAUUUUACUGCUACAUAUUUUAUAAACUUCAUGAUACAUUGUUUUUAUUUUUGCUUUAAACAGUCAGUAGUCUUUAUACGAAUUUUUUUUUUUUUUUUUUUUUUUUUUUGAGAGGGAGUCACUCUGUGGCCCAGGCUGGAGUACAGUGGUGCAAUCUCGGCUCACUGCAAGCUCUGCCUCCCGUGUUCACAC